UUCUGAGAUUCCUGAAACUUUUUGUUACACCAAGUUUACUUUGUCCCAUCCCAGAUAAUGUAAUGCCCUGGAUCUUUGGACACAGCCCAGGCCUUGCAGAGGUGCUGUGAGGCCUAUUAGAGAUAGGAUGUUUAAUAUAAUAGACAGUUUUUUUGUUCUGUUCAAGCUUGUGCUGAUGCUUAUUUAACACCAUGUAUCAAGAGAUAUGUAACUGGAUUCAUGUCUGGUUUCAAGAGUGGAAUUGAGGACAAAGUUCUUUUCAUGCAGUCAAAUGGUGGACUUACACCUGUGUCAAAGUUUUCUGGAUCUCAUGCCAUUCUCUCUGGCCCAGCAGGAGGAGUGGUUGGUUAUGCCAUGACAACGUACCAUGCAGAGACGGAACAGCCUGUUAUUGGAUUUGACAUGGGUGGAACUUCGACUGAUGUGUCUCGCUUUGCUGGUCAAUAUGAACAAGUCUUUGAGACAACAACAGCUGGAAUAACUAUACAAGCUCCUCAGUUGGACAUCAACACUGUGGCAGCAGGUGGUGGAUCACGCCUGUUUUUCAGGGCGGGGCUGUUUGUUGUAGGACCUGAGUCAGCUGGUGCCCAUCCAGGACCUGUGUGUUAUCGGAAAGGGGGUCCCCUUGCAGUUACAGAUGCAAACUUGGUUCUUGGGCGUAUACUUCCAGAAUUCUUCCCCAAGAUUUUUGGGCAAGGCGAGAAUCUUCCACUGGACAAACUAGGAACGUUAGAGGCUUUUCGGAAACUCACAAAAGAGAUCAAUGAAUUUUUGGCCACUCAAAGCAAUGAAAACAGAAAAGAUGCACUGAGUGUUGAAGAAGUGGCCAUGGGCUUUGUUACAGUUGCUAACGAGACAAUGUGCCGACCCAUUAGAGCUUUGACGCAGGCCAGAGGACACAACACUGCUCGACAUGUUCUUGCAUGUUUUGGUGGUGCAGGUGGUCAGCAUGCAUGUUCUAUUGCUCAGUCAUUAGGAAUGUCAACCGUGUUUAUUCAUCGCCAUUCAGGAAUCCUUUCUGCUUUUGGAUUGGCCCUGGCAGAUGUUGUGCAUGAAGCUCAAGAGCCGUGUUCCUGUGAUUAUAGCAAAGAUUCGUACCAAUACCUAGAAGAAAGAAUUGGUCUCCUUACUCAACAGUGCAAAAAGGAGCUCAAAACGCAAGGCUUUGAUGAAACUCAAAUAUCUACUGAAGUAUUCCUGCACAUGAGAUAUGAUGGAACUGACUGCGCUUUGAUAUGCAAUGUAUCUCCUUGCAAAACAGAGAAGCUGCGAGAGAGUACUUCUUUUGGUGACUUUGGAAAAGUGUUUACAGACAGGUACUUGCAAGAGUUUGGCUUCACCAUACCCAACCGUGACAUUAUGGUUGAUGACAUCCGAGUACGAGGAUGUGGACAUUCCAGAACAUCAGUCAUUCAUAAAACAACUCAUUCAAGUGCUCUACCUCCAAUUAAAAAAAUCACCAAGUGUUUCUUUGAUGGUGGUUUUCUUGAUACCAGAGUGUAUUUGCUGAAUGAUCUAGCUGCAGGGCAUUCCAUAGAGGGACCUGCCAUUAUCAUAGAUCAAAACAGUACCAUCCUCGUGGAACCACAAUGUACAGCAUAUAUUACAACAUCUGGGGAUAUUAGAAUUGAGAUUGGUAAAAACAAAGGGAAAAAACAAGUUACCACAGAUCUAGAUGCCAUACAACUUUCUAUAUUUUCUCAUCGCUUCAUGAGCAUAACAGACCAAAUGGGAAGAGUUCUUCAAAGGACAUCAAUUUCUACUAAUAUCAAGGAAAGGCUUGAUUUCUCCUGUGCCAUGUUUGGCCCUGGUGGUGGCCUCGUGGCUAAUGGUCCUCAUGUGCCUAUGCAUCUUGGAUCAAUGCAAGAAACAGUGAAAUAUCAGAUUGAAGAGCUAAGUGACAGUUUGAAAGAAGGUGAUGUCCUACUUAGUAACCACCCAAGUGCCGGAGGGACACAUCUUCCUGAUCUGACAGUUAUCACCCCAGUAUUCUAUCCUGGCCAACCAAAACCUGUCUUUUUUGUGGCAAGUCGAGGUCAUCAUGCAGAUGUUGGAGGAAUAGCACCUGGUUCAAUGCCACCAAAUUCUCAUAGCAUCUUUGACGAGGGAGCUGUCUUUAUGUCUUUUAAACUAGUAGAUAAUGGAAUCUUUCAAGAAGGAGCUCUUAAAGAAAUGCUCCUGGAGCCUGCUAAGAACCCUGGCUGUAGUGGAAGUCGUAAUGUGCAGGACAACAUCUCAGAUCUAAAGGCACAGGUGGCUGCCAAUCAUAAGGGAAUCAACCUCAUAAAUGCAUUGAUUGAUGAGUAUAGUCUCCCUGUUGUGCAAGCUUACAUGGAAUACAUUCAGCAAAAUGCAGAGUUGGCCGUUAGAGAAAUGUUAACAGAAAUUGCCCUCAAAACAAAGGAACGGACAGGAAAGUCAGUGUUACAAGCUGUAGACCAUAUGGACGAUGGAACGCCAAUCAAUCUCACAGUCUCCAUCGAUGAAAACAAGGGUAGCGCAGUAUUUGAUUUUGCUGGAACUGGAUAUGAGUCCUAUGGUAACUGUAAUGCACCCCGUGCUGUUGCUCUCUCAGCUCUGAUAUACUGCCUGCGGAGCAUGGUCAAGUACGAUAUUCCUCUCAAUCAGGGUUGUCUAGUGCCAGUGAAACUUCAUAUUCCUCAUGGAAGUCUGCUGGAUCCAUCACCUUCUGCAGCAGUUGUUGGCGGGAGUGUGCUGACCACUCAGAGGAUUGUAGAUGUUGUUCUGAAGGCUUUUGGUGUCUGUGCUGCCUCUCAGGGGUGUAUGAACAACAUCACAUUCGGUGAUGAAGGUUGUGGUUAUUACGAGACAGUUGCUGGGGGAUCAGGAGCAGGUCCCACAUGGGAGGGACGCAGCGGUGUCCACAGCCACAUGACAAACACUCGGAUAACAGACCCAGAGAUUAUAGAACGAAGGUAUCCUGUUAUUCUACUUCGCUUUCAUCUCAACCCUGGCACUGGGGGUGAUGGUUUUCACAAGGGAGGGGAUGGGGUGAUUCGGGAGCUGCUGUUUAGAAGAACACAAGUUUUGUCAGUUUUAUGUGAAAGGAGAUCAGCCUUUCAACCUUACGGACUCCAAGGAGGAAGACCUGGAUCGCUAGGACUUAAUCUUCUGAUACAAAACAGUGGAAAAAUAAUUAACCUUGGGUCAAAAGCCACUGUCACUGUGAAUGCUGGGGACCAUAUUAAAGUCCAGACACCCGGCGGUGGUGGAUAUGGCAAUCCUAAAAGUGACAAUGCUGGAGGACUGGAAUCUGGCAUGUUAAACUCUGAACACAAGAUUUAGGAAACGACGGCAACAUGGUGAAAACAAUGUAAAAUUAAUUAAAAGCAAUAAAUUUUUGUAAAAUCACUCUACACUCCAAAACAAGUGCCCAUGCAUUAGAGCUUUGGCAUCAAUUUACAACUUUAUAAAUAACUGUUAAUAAUAAAAUGUUUUGAAAUUGAUUUCAGCUACUUUUCAUGUCUCUUUAGUCAAGCUCCAGACAGAAGAAUCCUGUAAUGAAACAUCACUGUUACGCUGCAAAAUGUAAUAACAAUCGCCGAAUUGCGAAAAUGUAAUACUAACGCAAAAUGUAAUAACAUCGACGCGAAAUGUAAUAAAGUAUUCAACGCCGUUAAAAAUGUUAAAAAGUUAUCCUAAUUAUAUAAGUAACAUGUUCGGUUUGAAAAACUGUGCCUAUGAUCUUUGUUGAAAUGGUAGCAGACUCAAUCAGCCGGCCACGAAUACCAGUUUCAGGCACAAAUCGUUUUCUUACAUUGCAUGCCGACUCUGGGACAAUCUACCUUCUCAUGUCAGGGAGGCAACUGACCCGAUCUCAAGAAUUUCGUUGCCAAGCUCAAAGAACUUAAGCUCAGCCAGGUCGUUGCAUUCUCCGGUUCUAGUUGAUUGCUUAGUUGUAAUAGCUUAGAUACUUAUUUUUUCUAUCUUAUAUCUUAGGAAUGUGUAUAUUUAUUAGUAUAAUAGUUACACGUACAUUUUUGUAAUGAGCCUUCACUUUAGGCUCAUUAAUAUAUCCUGUUUAAACAAAGAUUGUAUAUUGUAACGCAAAAUGUAAUAAGUUUCUAACGCAUAACUGUAAUAACGCAAAAUGUAAUAGCUCUCCAAUGACAUGUAUGAUACUUCGAAAUCAGUUAAGUUUAUCCGACGUAGAUUACGUGAAUUGAAUAACAUGUCUUCAGGUUUUGCUCUCAACUCUUAAAAGCAGGGCCGUAACUAGCAAGAGGCCAGACGAGGCAUUUUCCCCAGUUCUAGGCUUUAUCCUCAAUUUUUUUUUAAAAAAGUAAUGUUGGUUGGAAAAGUAAUUUCCAGAGAAUAUUUGUCAUCGGCUGGUGAAAUAUUAAAUCAGUGAGCGAAUUAGGGGCAAAAGUUAACAAAAACUGUUUCAAUGCUGUAAAGAGGAUCGAAUGGUGAGUUCACAAAUAGACAUACCCGAAUGAGAAGUGCCAACAAACGAAGGUUAUUGUUGAGUUCACUAUUGAGAAGUUAAUAAAUGGGUGUCAUUGUUUCGUUUGUACUUACCUGUUCUUUUCUUUAAAUUAACCCUCCCUUCCCACCGUGAAGCAAAUCUUCAACGAAAAUUGCAUAGUGAUACAUAAUGGCUCCGUUUAAAAAAAAUAAACGAAACUCGGUUUUUUUUGGAAGGGGUGGACUGGGACAUUUUCAGUAUUUUUUACUACAAAAUAACCCUUGUUUACCAAAACAGGUUGCAGCGCCACCUCCCAAAAUGUACUAUUUCUCAGUGAUGACCCCCCGUCUCUGUAGCCUCAGUCCAUCCCCACCAAUAACCUGCUUGAAUACAUGUGCCAUGAGCAUUUUUACAGUAGACCUCUCAUUUAAGACUUUGACUUCGUGUUGCCUUGCAUUACAUUUUGCGUUAUUACAUCACGCGUUAAAAAAGUACAUUUUGCUUUGAAAAGUUAUUGCAUUUUGCGUUGAACACUUUUCCCGUCGAUGUUAUUACAUUUUGCGGCGAUCUUAUUACUUUUGCGUCGUAACUCCCCUCCUGAGAAAGGGCCUAUACUUUGACUGGUGAUAAAGUAAGUGGGAAAGUAAUUCAGUGAGAGAUAAAAGUUAAUGAUUCACUUGUCCAUUGGAAAACAUUCAGAAUGGACUUGGUUCUUUAAAAUCCUAGUGCUUUUCCAACCCAUUUCUUAAGGUACAAAGCCCUAAAAGCAUUUGUAUGGAAACAAAGCAUGACUGAAAAAUGGUGAAUGGUUCCAUUUUCGUGGUCAAGUAAGAACCUUCCUUUUCUGUCGGUGGAUAAAUUUAUAUGCUGGCAAAGUUGUUUACAUAUUUUUUAUUAGCAUUUGUAGGAGACCAGAAAUAAGCGUGUCCCUCAAACAAGUCUUGUCAAAGAUUUGCUUGUCCUCGUGUCAUCAAGUUUCUACUUGUCCCAGACAAGGUUUAGGUGUACCCUGACGUAUUAAUUGAUGAAUGACAACCAGGCCAUUAAGUCUUUCCUAACAAACUUUAUUGAGUACUUUUCAUACAAACUUGAAUUUUAUCUGGUAAAAAUUCACAAAUUGCUGUUCCUUAAGUUUUUUCCCUGAAAUAAUUUCUGUAAAAAUUUCAAUAGCCUACCUACAUAAUUACACUCUGUAAGCAUUUACAAGCUUUAAGGGACUAUGUACACAAGUAAUGGCAACUUAAUGUGAAAUGAUAGUAAUGUGUAUACUCUAGGCAAUUCCUACCCUACAUGUCACUCUUUUUAACAGAGGAAAGAAUAAAUGUUGUAGAAGUU